rnacentral:rRNA from 1 species
AUUGAACGCUGGCGGCAUGCCUUACACACGCAAGUCGAACGGUAGAGGGGGCAGCCCCUCGAGAGUGGCGAACGGGUGAGUAAAGCAUCGGAACGUGCCCAGUAGUGGGGGAUAGCCCGGCGAAAGCCGGAUUAAUACCGCAUGAGACCUACGGGUGAAAGGGGGGGAUCGCAAGACCUCUCGCUAUUGGAGCGGCCGAUGGCAGAUUAGGUAGUUGGUGGGGUAAAGGCCUACCAAGCCUGCGAUCUGUAGUUGGUCUGAGAGGACGACCAGCCACACUGGGACUGAGACACGGCCCAGACUCCUACGGGAGGCAGCAGUGGGGAAUUUUGGACAAUGGGCGCAAGCCUGAUCCAGCAAUGCCGCGUGCAGGAAGAAGGCCUUCGGGUUGUAAAGCUCUGUCAGAGGGAAAGAAGUGUACGGCGGUUAAUACCCGUUGUACUUGACGGUACCCUCAAAGGAAGCACCGGCUAACUCCGUGCCAGCCGCCGCUGUAAUAC